AGAGAGUGAGGGGGCGGAUGUAGCCAAGUGGAUCAAGGCAG
rnacentral:tRNA from 1 species